GGCUGGUCCGAAGGUAGUGAGUUAUCUCAAUUGAUUGUUCACAGUCAGUUACAGUUUUAUUUUUAAAAACUCAUCUCUCCCUCUCACAAACCUUGG
rnacentral:sRNA from 1 species